rnacentral:rRNA from 1 species
AGCGAACGCUAGCGACGUGCCUAACACAUGCAAGUCGAACGAGAACGCUCUCUUCGGAGAGUUAUUAGAGUGGCGCACGGGUGAGUAACACGUGGAUAAUCUACCCUUGAGUGGGGGAUAACCCACCGAAAGGUGGGCUAAUACCGCAUACGGUUGCCGGUCACAUGGCCGAUAAUUAAAGACGGGGAUCCUUCGGGACCUGUCGCUUGGGGAUGAGUCCGCGUCCCAUCAGCUUGUUGGUGAGGUAAUGGCUUACCAAGGCUAAGACGGGUAGCUGGUCUGAGAGGACGAUCAGUCACACUGGGACUGAAACACGGCCCAGACUCCUACGGGAGGCAGCAGUGGGGAAUAUUGCACAAUGGGCGCAAGCCUGAUGCAGCCAUGCCGCGUGUGUGAAGAAGGCCUUCGGGUUGUAAAGCACUUUCAGUCAGGAGGAAAGGUUAGUAGUUAAUACCUGCUAGCUGUGACGUUACUGACAGAAGAAGCACCGCUAACU